AACGAACGCUGGCGGCGUGUUUAAGACAUGCAAGUCGCACGGUGUCAUUUUGGUAGCAAUACUUGGAUGGCAUAGUGGCGCACGGGUGAGUAACACGUGAAUUACAUGCCCUGUAGAGGGGGAUAGCCCAGGGAAACUUGGAUUAAUACCCCAUGGUCUCGCAAGAGUAAAAGGUGGCCGCAAGGCUGUCGCUGCAGGAUUGGUUCGCGCCCUAUCAGCUUGGUGGCGGGGUAACGGCCCACCAAGGCUACGGCGGGUACCUGGUCUGAGAGGAACAUCAGGCACACUGGAACUGAGACACGGUCCAGACACCUACGGGUGGCGGCAGUCGAGAAUAAUUCACAAUGGGGGCAACCCUGAUGGUGCAACGCCGCGUGGAGGAUGACGGUCUUCGGAUUGUAAACUCCUGUCAUCCGGGAGUAAGACCUGGGCAUUAACAGUGCACAGGGUUGAUAGUACCGGAAGAGGAAGGGACGGCUAACUUCGUGCCAGCCGCCGCCGUAAGAC
rnacentral:rRNA from 1 species